rnacentral:rRNA from 1 species
AUUGAACGCUGGCGGCAUGCCUUACACAUGCAAGUCGAACGGCAGCACGGGUGCUUGCACCUGGUGGCGAGUGGCGAACGGGUGAGUAAUAUAUCGGAACGUACCUUAUUGUGGGGGAUAACGCAGCGAAAGCUGUGCUAAUACCGCAUAAUUCCUAAGGGGGAAAGCGGGGGACCGUAAGGCCUCGCGCAAUUAGAGCGGCCGAUACCUGAUUAGCUAGUUGGUGAGGUAAAGGCUCACCAAGGCAACGAUCAGUAGCUGGUCUGAGAGGACGAUCAGCCACACUGGGACUGAGACACGGCCCAGACUCCUACGGGAGGCAGCAGUGGGGAAUUUUGGACAAUGGGGGCAACCCUGAUCCAGCAAUGCCGCGUGAGUGAAGAAGGCCUUCGGGUUGUAAAGCUCUUUUGUCAGGGAAGAAACAGCAGCUCUAACACAGUUUGCGAAUGUCGGUACCUGAAGAAUAAGCACCGGCUAACUACGUGCCAGCCGCCGCAGUAAGAC